GCCGAGGUGGUCUAGUGGUUACGACGUCAGAAAGGAGCUCUGCUUCACUAGGCCCCUAAACGCGGAUGUCAGGCACCACAAACACUGCGGAUGCCAGCCACAGCGGGGGCACUUAUUGGAUUCACCUCGCUACAGGAAACGCCAGUUCGAUUCUGGCCCUUGGCA